AUUGACGGGGGCCCGCACAAGCGGUGGAGCAUGUGGUUUAAUUCGAAGCAACGCGAAGAACCGUACCAGGUCUUGACAUCCUUUGACCACUCUAGAGAUAGAGCUUCCCCUUCGGGGGCAAAGUGCCAGGUGGUGCAUGGUUGUCGUCAGCUCGUGUCGUGAGAUGUUGGGUUAAGUCCCGCAACGCGCCCACCCCUUAUUGUUAGUUGCCAUCAUUCAGUUGGGCACUCUAGCAAG
rnacentral:rRNA from 1 species